UUGUCUACGUUAAAGGGCAUCUCCCAUCUAUCCGACCAAGCUGAAAUUUUGUGCAAAUCCUCUUGGAGGCUUUGCCUGUCUUCGUCAGUGAGAACCGAGUAACCAAUCUUUGUGUCGUCUGCAAAUUUACUAAUGCGGUUAUUGAGUCCAACAUCCACGUCGUUGAUGUAAAUAAUGAAGAGCACUGGGCCAAGGACCGAGCCCUGAGGGACGCCACUAGUGACAGGCGCCCACUCUGAGUUAAAUCCGUCAAUCACUACUCUUUGUUGUCUGUUGCUCAACCAAUUCGCGAUCCAUUGGUUUACUUGACCGUCAAUACCUAUUUGCUUUAAUUUGUAAAGUAAUUUAUGAUGCGGGACUUUAUCAAACGCUUUCUGGAAAUCAAGAUAGACUACGUCCAGUGAUUUGGUUACGUCAUAAACAGUGAAGAGGUCGUUAUAAAAGGUUAAUAGAUUUGAUAGGCAGGAUCUUUUGUUUCGGGAGCCAUGUUGUGAGUCCCCAAUUAAUGAGUGGCUUUCAAGGUAACUCACAAUUUUGUCUCUAAUUAUGC